UGCAUGGAGAUUCAGCAGUGCUUGGA
rnacentral:piRNA from 1 species